GAUAUCUGGUCAAUGGGAGGACAAAAGGGGGGACAAUAUAGAGCGUCGACGUGAGAGGAUCUCUAGUCUAGUGGUUAGAGCAUCUGAGUAGUAUCUAGCAGAGUAGGUUCGUGUUCAACUGGAAUAUGUAGGGACUUCCCCUACUGACUUCAAUCAAAUAUAGAGUGUCGACUUAAACGCCAAUAGAACUGAUACUGUAUUGUGAGCUCAUUGUUGGAGGGACCUUUGCAUGGACUGUUUGGACAAAUUGUUUGUAAUUUUUUUUGAUAGUUUAAACAAGAUUCUUUUUUAUGAUUCCAUACAAUUGCUAUCAUUUUGCGUUGAGAAGCUGAGGUCAAUUACGGGGCAAAUGUUUGCCUUCUACGUUUCUUCACUUCUUCCCCCGUAUACGUUAGUGUUGACAAUGCCCGUCAAUAUAACAUGCCAACACUCGAG
rnacentral:lncRNA from 1 species